UACGGAGGGUGCAAGCAUUGAUCGGAAUUACUGGGCGUAAAGGGCGCGUAGGCGGUUUAAUAAGUCGGAUGUGAAAUUCCGGGGCUCAACCCCGGAGCUGCAUUUGAAACUGUUAAACUAGAGUACAGUUAGGGUAAACGGAAUUCCUCGUGUAGCGGUGAAAUGCGUAGAUAUGAGGAAGAACACCGGUGGUGAAGACGGUUUACUGGGCUGUAACUGACGCUGAGGCGCGAAAGCAUGGGGAGCAAACAGG
rnacentral:rRNA from 1 species